GGCAUGGAGUCUGCCGGCAUCCAUGAGACAACCUACAACAGCAUCAUGAAGUGCGACGUGGACAUCCGUAAAGAUCUGUACGCC